GAUGAACGCUGGCGGCGUGCCUAAUACAUGCAAGUCGAGCGAACGGACGAGAAGCUUGCUUCUCUGAUGUUAGCGGCGGACGGGUGAGUAACACGUGGAUAACCUACCUAUAAGACUGGGAUAACCUCGGGAAACCGUAGCUAAUACCGGAUAAUAUUUUGAACCGCAUGGUUCAAAAGUGAAAGACGGUCUUGCUGUCACUUAUAGAUGGAUCCGCGCUGCAUUAGCUAGUUGGUAAGGUAACGGCUUACCAAGGCAACGAUGCAUAGCCGACAUGAGAGGGUGAUCGGCCACACUGGAACUGAGACACGGUCCAGACUCCUACGGGAGGCAGCAGUAGGGAAUCUUCCGCAAUGGGCGAAAGCCUGACGGAGCAACGCCGCGUGAGUGAUGAAGGUCUUCGGAUCGUAAAACUCUGUUAUUAGGGAAGAACAUAUGUGUAAGUAACUGUGCACAUCUUGACGGUACCUAAUCAGAAAGCCACGGCUAACUACGUG
rnacentral:rRNA from 1 species